AAAGCAGUAAGAUCCUCACAAGAUAAAAUUCACUCAACUCUCAAGUGUUUAGGUUAACUGUUUACACUCAAAGCACAACAUGAAAGUUAGUAAUACCAUAAGUUUGAAAAGACUAUUAACAUCUAAAAUUGAAAUACAUGCACACACAAAAAUAUCCUUCUAUUUUUUAUUUUUUUAUUUUUUUUUAUUUAUAUUUUUUCUUUUCUAUUUUCUCUUUCUAUUUUUCUUUUCUAUUUUCUCUUUCUAUUUUUCUUUUCUUUUUCUGUCAAUUUCUGAAAUAUUACAAACAUAAUUAUUCAACCUCA
rnacentral:lncRNA from 1 species